rnacentral:rRNA from 1 species
GGGUUGUGAGGUUAAGCGACUAAGCGUACACGGUGGAUGCCCUGGCAGUCAGAGGCGAUGAAGGACGUGCUAAUCUGCGAUAAGCGUCGGUAAGGUGAUAUGAACCGUUAUAACCGGCGAUUUCCGAAUGGGGAAACCCAGUGUGAUUCGUCACACUAUCAUUAACUGAAUCCAUAGGUUAAUGAGGCGAACCGGGGGAACUGAAACAUCUAAGUACCCCGAGGAAAAGAAAUCAACCGAGAUUCCCCCAGUAGCGGCGAGCGAACGGGGAGCAGCCCAGAGCCUGAAUCAGUGUGUGUGUUAGUGGAAGCGUCUGGAAAGGCGCGCGAUACAGGGUGACAGCCCCGUACACAAAAAUGCACAUGCUGUGAGCUCGAUGAGUAGGGCGGGACACGUGGUAUCCUGUCUGAAUAUGGGGGGACCAUCCUCCAAGGCUAAAUACUCCUGACUGACCGAUAGUGAACCAGUACCGUGAGGGAAAGGCGAAAAGAACCCCGGCGAGGGGAGUGAAAAAGAACCUGAAACCGUGUACGUACAAGCAGUGGGAGCACGCUUAGGCGUGUGACUGCGUACCUUUUGUAUAAUGGGUCAGCGACUUAUAUUCUGUAGCAAGGUUAACCGAAUAGGGGAGCCGAAGGGAAACCGAGUCUUAACUGGGCGUUAAGUUGCAGGGUAUAGACCCGAAACCCGGUGAUCUAGCCAUGGGCAGGUUGAAGGUUGGGUAACACUAACUGGAGGACCGAACCGACUAAUGUUGAAAAAUUAGCGGAUGACUUGUGGCUGGGGGUGAAAGGCCAAUCAAACCGGGAGAUAGCUGGUUCUCCCCGAAAGCUAUUUAGGUAGCGCCUCGUGAAUUCAUCUCCGGGGGUAGAGCACUGUUUCGGCAAGGGGGUCAUCCCGACUUACCAACCCGAUGCAAACUGCGAAUACCGGAGAAUGUUAUCACGGGAGACACACGGCGGGUGCUAACGUCCGUCGUGAAGAGGGAAACAACCCAGACCGCCAGCUAAGGUCCCAAAGUCAUGGUUAAGUGGGAAACGAUGUGGGAAGGCCCAGACAGCCAGGAUGUUGGCUUAGAAGCAGCCAUCAUUUAAAGAAAGCGUAAUAGCUCACUGGUCGAGUCGGCCUGCGCGGAAGAUGUAACGGGGCUAAACCAUGCACCGAAGCUGCGGCAGCGACGCUUAUGCGUUGUUGGGUAGGGGAGCGUUCUGUAAGCCUGUGAAGGUGUGCUGUGAGGCAUGCUGGAGGUAUCAGAAGUGCGAAUGCUGACAUAAGUAACGAUAAAGCGGGUGAAAAGCCCGCUCGCCGGAAGACCAAGGGUUCCUGUCCAACGUUAAUCGGGGCAGGGUGAGUCGACCCCUAAGGCGAGGCCGAAAGGCGUAGUCGAUGGGAAACAGGUUAAUAUUCCUGUACUUGGUGUUACUGCGAAGGGGGGACGGAGAAGGCUAUGUUGGCCGGGCGACGGUUGUCCCGGUUUAAGCGUGUAGGCUGGUUUUCCAGGCAAAUCCGGAAAAUCAAGGCUGAGGCGUGAUGACGAGGCACUACGGUGCUGAAGCAACAAAUGCCCUGCUUCCAGGAAAAGCCUCUAAGCAUCAGGUAACAUCAAAUCGUACCCCAAACCGACACAGGUGGUCAGGUAGAGAAUACCAAGGCGCUUGAGAGAACUCGGGUGAAGGAACUAGGCAAAAUGGUGCCGUAACUUCGGGAGAAGGCACGCUGAUAUGUAGGUGAAGUCCCUUGCGGAUGGAGCUGAAAUCAGUCGAAGAUACCAGCUGGCUGCAACUGUUUAUUAAAAACACAGCACUGUGCAAACACGAAAGUGGACGUAUACGGUGUGACGCCUGCCCGGUGCCGGAAGGUUAAUUGAUGGGGUCAGCGCAAGCGAAGCUCUUGAUCGAAGCCCCGGUAAACGGCGGCCGUAACUAUAACGGUCCUAAGGUAGCGAAAUUCCUUGUCGGGUAAGUUCCGACCUGCACGAAUGGCGUAAUGAUGGCCAGGCUGUCUCCACCCGAGACUCAGUGAAAUUGAACUCGCUGUGAAGAUGCAGUGUACCCGCGGCAAGACGGAAAGACCCCGUGAACCUUUACUAUAGCUUGACACUGAACAUUGAGCCUUGAUGUGUAGGAUAGGUGGGAGGCUUUGAAGUGUGGACGCCAGUCUGCAUGGAGCCGACCUUGAAAUACCACCCUUUAAUGUUUGAUGUUCUAACGUUGACCCGUAAUCCGGGUUGCGGACAGUGUCUGGUGGGUAGUUUGACUGGGGCGGUCUCCUCCUAAAGAGUAACGGAGGAGCACGAAGGUUGGCUAAUCCUGGUCGGACAUCAGGAGGUUAGUGCAAUGGCAUAAGCCAGCUUGACUGCGAGCGUGACGGCGCGAGCAGGUGCGAAAGCAGGUCAUAGUGAUCCGGUGGUUCUGAAUGGAAGGGCCAUCGCUCAACGGAUAAAAGGUACUCCGGGGAUAACAGGCUGAUACCGCCCAAGAGUUCAUAUCGACGGCGGUGUUUGGCACCUCGAUGUCGGCUCAUCACAUCCUGGGGCUGAAGUAGGUCCCAAGGGUAUGGCUGUUCGCCAUUUAAAGUGGUACGCGAGCUGGGUUUAGAACGUCGUGAGACAGUUCGGUCCCUAUCUGCCGUGGGCGCUGGAGAACUGAGGGGGGCUGCUCCUAGUACGAGAGGACCGGAGUGGACGCAUCACUGGUGUUCGGGUUGUCAUGCCAAUGGCACUGCCCGGUAGCUAAAUGCGGAAGAGAUAAGUGCUGAAAGCAUCUAAGCACGAAACUUGCCCCGAGAUGAGUUCUCCCUGACCCUUUAAGGGUCCUGAAGGAACGUUGAAGACGACGACGUUGAUAGGCCGGGUGUGUAAGCGCAGCGAUGCGUUGAGCUAACCGGUACUAAUGAACCGUGAGGCUUAACCUUACAACGCCGAAGCUGUU